AGUGGCACAGAGAGGGUGAGCAGGGGCAGAGUGGCACAGAGAGGGUGAGCAGGGGGCAGAGUGGCACAGAGAGGGUGAGCAGGGAGCGUUUCAGUGUUUUUCUCUGGGCAGGCUGAUGGUGCCUUUCUCUGGGCCUAAAAUUCCUAAAAGUUUGGUAUUUGAUUUUUUAAAAGUUCUUCCUAGUUUCUGACCCCCACACACCCACCCCCUCCAGUCCCUGGGCCCCAGUUCCUGAGACUGUGUCAGAUCCCAGCCUCUUGCCUCUGCCCAUCGGGCCCAGCCCGGGAUGCCCUGCUGUCCUGCUGUCCUUGACGUGGCGUUGCGGGGCAGGUCUGUUCCAGGAGAAGCCCCACAGCCUGCAGAACAACAUCCGGACGUCCCUGGAGAAGAAGAGGCGAGGCUCGGGGGUUCCCUGGGCCAGCCGGCCUGAGGCCACCCUGCAGGAUUUCCUGGGCACCGUGUACCUCUCUAAAGUGAAGAGUCAAGGCCACCCCGCUGUCUACAGGCUCUCCCUCAAUGCCAGCCUGCCUGCUCCUUGGCAGGCUGUGUCACCUGGGGAUGGAGAGGUGCCCUCCUUCCAGUAGGGCUGCUCCAGGCGGCGAGCCCCUCCCGCAAGUGGAUGCUGACGACCUUGGCCUGUGAUGCCAAGCGGGGCUGGAAGUUUGACUUCAGCUUCUACGUGGCCACCAAGGAGCAGCAGCACACCCGGUAACAAAGCCUGGCAGACAAGCCCGUGCCCAUCAGCCCGGCUGCUUCUUUUCUCUCUUUUCUCUCUCUUUUCACAUAG
rnacentral:lncRNA from 1 species